rnacentral:rRNA from 1 species
AGCAGCGAGACGGAGGGGGAAAGCMMCAUCGUCAAGAGGGAAACAGCCCAGAUCACCAGCMAAGGCCCCAAAAMGAUCGUMAAGMGGCAAAGGAGGMGAGAAUGCAGAAACAACCAGGAGGMMYGCUUAGAAGCAGCAAUCCUWWAAAGAGWGCGUAAUAGCUCACUGGUGGAGCGUUCUUGCGCCGAAAAUGUCCGGGACUAAAUGAUCUGCCGAAGCUGUGGGAUACUUUCAAGAAAAGUAUCGGUAGGGGAGCGUUCUGCUGUAGGGUGAAGCAUUAGUGUAAACUUAUGUGGACGAAGCGGAAGUGAGAAUGUCGGCUUGAGUAACGCAAACAUUGGUGAGAAUCCAAUGCCCCGUAAACCUAAGGAUUCCUCCACUAGGUUCGUCCAUGGAGGGUGAGUCAGGACCUAAGGCCAGGCCGAAAGGCGUAGUCGAUGGAAAACAGGUUAAUAUUCCUGUACUACUUUUUAUUGGUACCGAGGGACGGAGCAGGCAGAAGUAAGCCGGAUUUGGAUUUCGGUGGAAGCUUUCAAGACGUUGAGAAGUAGAAUAAAAACUAUUUCAAGUUAAGAAGUGAUACGUCCUUGUUCUUUGAGUAAGGAUUUACUGGCUGUCAUACUUCCAAGAAAAGCUCGAACUACAAUUUAAGAUAAAAAGUACCUGUACCGUAAACCGACACAGGUAGGUUGGUAGAGAAUACCAAGGGGCGCGAGACAACUCUCUCUAARGAACUCGGCAAAAUGACCCCGUAACUUCGGARAA